rnacentral:lncRNA from 1 species
CAAGAAAAAAACAGCCUGGUAACUUCUGCUGAUUAUUAAUAUUAUAUAUGUACAAUGGACUUCCAUACACUUCCUUUCUACAAAAUUCAUUCACAAGGUUGGCCAGCCUGGGUGUUGAAGAGAUGAUUGCCCAAAGUCUCAGUACUACUACCUGUUUCAUAAAAUUUUUAUUUUUUUCGCAUCACGCUUCUUGUUAGUCUUCGAUGUCUUCCAAGAAAGUAGUCUCGUGUAACAUCUUGUCGUUCGGAAAGGUUUAUACAACUUUCUCUUAACGGAUACUAUUCACACAAAACUGUAACAGCUCCUAAUUUGAAACACUUUCAAAACAAAGGAAGAUUCUGUUCAG